rnacentral:rRNA from 1 species
GAUGAACGCUGGCGGCGUGCCUAAUACAUGCAAGUCGAGCGAACGGACGAGAAGCUUGCUUCUCUGAUGUUAGGGCGGACGGGUGAGUAACACGUGGAUAACCUACCUAUAAGACUGGGAUAACUUCGGGAAACCGGAGCUAAUACCGGAUAAUAUUUUGAACCGCAUGGUUCAAAAGUGAAAGACGGUCUUGCUGUCACUUAUAGAUGGAUCCGCGCUGCAUUAGCUAGUUGGUAAGGUAACGGCUUACCAAGGCAACGAUGCAUAGCCGACCUGAGAGGGUGAUCGGCCACACUGGAACUGAGACACGGUCCAGACUCCUACGGGAGGCAGCAGUAGGGAAUCUUCCGCAAUGGGCGAAAGCCUGACGGAGCAACGCCGCGUGAGUGAUGAAGGUCUUCGGAUCGUAAAACUCUGUUAUUAGGGAAGAACAUAUGUGUAAGUAACUGUGCACAUCUUGACGGUACCUAAUCAGAAAGCCACGGCUAACUACGUG